UGUCUACAAUUAUCAUAGUUUAACCUUUUCUAAACAUGGCCAGCAUCCCCUUUAUUCUUAUAUUUAAUACAACUUGCUUUACCUAUUGUCAUACAAAGGGGCCAGGUAUUGUUACGUGAACCUACUUGUCAGCUUUAUCUGGGGUUGCGGACUUCAAAUGUUAUCAUGAUUCAUGAGUAUAAAUACUAAAUCAACCCUUGCCAUUGUUAAGAGUGAUUGGUCUAUACACCCAGUUGUACUAAUUUUUUCAUCACCUUAGACCAAUAAACAAAGACCUGGUAUGGGUCAACCAAACAGUAAACAAUCAUAUCAAGGAGUAUGAUAAUUUAUGUUAUUUUUUUGGAGGGGUAAUGGUCGAACACGAGUUCAUCUUACUAACACUUUACAGUAUAAUUAACUUGUCUGCACUUGUCUACAUAUUUAAUGAUGUGAACUUCUACAGUAGUGUUUGUUAGUUUAUUUUUUUAUCUCGAAACUCUAUUUGACUUUUUGUGAACCUUGUUUGCUCUUUUGGCAUGUUCAUCACACUGCUACUCAUUUGUUACAAGCUGCACUUAAAAUCAAAUCAACACAUGAAAGGUUGAGUUAGUGGGAGGGAGCUCCAAUGGAGAACAACAAGUGUGGGUGUUGGGUAGUUUUCAGGAAGAGUGUUAGAAGUACUUGCAAGCCUUCUGCUUCCAAAGACACUCCCAACACUAUUCCUAGAACCAGUCUUGUUUAUGAUGCAGGAGUAUAAUGCAAAGCUUUCAAAUUUUGGUCUGGCAAAAGCCGGGCCCCAAGGAGACAAAACGCAUGUUUCUACAAGGGUUGUUGGAACAUAUGGCUAUGCUGCUCCAGAAUAUGUAAUGACAGUGCACCAGUCACAUUCUAAAGCAGUGAAGAGAGCCAUCAGUGAACAUUGUGGUGUAUGGACAAUCUCAAUGCUUAGUUACUUUUACUGUUUCCAGUGCAUUGGUAUAAGGUUAGCUUGGUAAACAUUGUGGUGUACUUGAUUUGAGUGUUUUUAUAUAACUUACUCUCCUAGUGUAAACAUGACAGCUAGUGAAUUAGUUUGAAUUUUUACUUAACUUCUGUUAACCUGAUGGAUUAAAAGUUACUAAGAAUUGUAUAGUUUUGAGGGUUGUUUGAACAAUUGACGGAUGACAAACAUGGUGAUGGAAAUUCCUAUUGUUCUUAGAUCAUUCUAUUCUGGUUAGGCAGGUUUCAUGAUACUUCUCUGCUCCUCUUGGUGAAUUUCUUUUAAGAACUCCCUAGUUUCCAAUUAAAGGCUUGUUUUGAUUUAGUAUUAGUUCUUACAAUAAUUUGUUACCUAUAUAUGGUUAAGCAUUCUAUCGGUUUGAAUUAUUGGAUAGUGACCAAUAUGAGGACCGACAUAGUUCAAUGUCAUUUGUUUUUCUGUCUAUCAUGGGCACUAGAUCUCUAAUACACUUCAGAUGAUAUGAGUGCAAUACUUGUUGUGAAACUAAGGAAGAGAAUGGGUCUCAGAAUGUGGGUGAAGUUGCACCUGUUGGGCAUGCAUGUUGAAGGGAAGGUAACAACUAGUAUGUUCUUAUUUUUAGACUAGACUGUGGUGUAUUCAUUUGACCUUCAAACAUAUUUAGGGGGAUGUUCAAUUCUCAAAAUAUGAAUUUUUACAUUAGCAGUAGAGGAUUCAGAAAAGGAUAGAUCUUGGUAUUCUUCUCUCUCUCUCUCUCUCCUUUUUUUGGGGUUGGGUGAGCAUAGUUCAUAGUUUCUUUUGCUAUUGCAACAAAUUACUUUAUUUGUGCAAGUUUCUUUCAAAUUUGAACGUUCUGGUGUUGUUGUCGCUUAUUACAUGAGUUAGAUAACUCUAUGUUGUCAUUUCUUCCUUUUCUAGAUGCUUGAAGGUUUUCUAAUCUUUAAAUUAUUUCAUAUGUUAGAAAACCUGUCCUGUGUGUAUGAGGAGGAACCAGUUGUUGCUUAUGCCUUGGUGGAAGUUAUCUCAGCAGCUGACCUCAAGCCUUCAGAUUUAAAUGGAUUGGCUGAUUCAUAUGUAAAACUUGGUCCUUACAGAUUGAGGACUGACAGAAAGUGAACCAACAUUUAGACAGAGAGUAAUUGUCGUCUCCAAAUUUGAUAAUCGGCUCAAGGUACAAGUGCAUAACUUUUCUUUAGUGGUUUUUGUAGAGGUUGGGAUACACACAUUUAAUGACUGAUGUUUUGCGAUACAUAGCUUUGCGAUUGGUCUUUUUUUAAUUUUACAGCAUUUGUCUUGAUCUUAAAAGUGAUGCCAUCAGGCAAUAGAAAGGCAUGAAUUCUCCACGGACAGCCCUGGCUACCGCAGUGAGCAGAAAUCCUUGUUCUCUCAUUCUUCUCCCAUACAAGCUGAAACCCUUCUUGAGCAACAUAGUCCCGUAAGGCAUCUCUAAACAUGUCAAUGCUAGGAAAUAGCAUGCCAACCUCGAACUGUCCUUUCUUACCCUUACCCUUUCCCUUACCCUUACCAAUAGAUUGAGAUCCAUCAUUAUUAUCAGAUUCAGAAUCUAAUAACAUAUCAUCACUUCCACAAUUAUCAUCAGACGAUGAUUGACAAUUACUGUGGCUAUCAUCAUCAGUACUUUGUUCAUACAUGGGAAACCCUUCUUGAGCAACAUAGUCCCAGUAAAAUGACAAUUACAAUGGUUGAAGUCUUAUCAUAUAGGGUGUUUCGACUCCAUUCAUGAGAUUGUCUCAAAUAUAAAAUGGGUGAGUCAAAAUCUUUAAGGUGUGGAAAUGGUUGGUGAUUAUUCAAGCUUGUUCGGUGGAUACUUUUGUGCCAUGAUGCUGUGUUGUGUUGAAUCUGGUGCUGAUUGGCUCUAUUCUGUGUGCUCUGCCUCUGAUGCAGCUUUUGAUUGAUGCGAUCUGUUUGUCC